GUGCCAGCAGCCGCGGUAAUACGUAGGGGGCAAGCGUUGUUCGGAAUUACUGGGCGUAAAGGGCGCGUAGGCGGCACAGCAAGUCGGGAGUGAAAGCCCGGGGCUCAACCCCGGAACUGCUUUCGAAACUGCUGAGCUAGAGUACAGAAGGGGCAACCGGAAUUCCCAGUGUAGCGGUGAAAUGCGUAGAUAUUGGGAAGAACACCUGAGGCGAAGGCGGGUUGCUGGGCUGAUACUGACGCUGAGGCGCGAAAGCCAGGGGAGCAAACGGGAUUAGAAACCCUCGUAGUCC
rnacentral:rRNA from 1 species